GUGUCCUCUUUUUUCCUUCUGCAAAAAUUCCAAGUUUCCUUCCCUCGUGGACUUUCAAUCAUACAAUUGGUCCUGUUACUUCCUGGUUUGGUUAGCUCAGUGGAGGUAAACUCGAAAUCCAGUAAUUGCUCAGAGCACCUUACAAAGACGUCUUAUUGAGCAGCAUUGGGAAGUCUGUGAUUGGACAGCCACAGUAUGUCUGGGCGGGGUUAGAAGGGAAAGAUUGGAAAGAC